CCCCCCCCCUUAAACGGCCGCGGUAUCCUAACCGUGCAAAGGUAGCAUAAUCACUUGUCCUCUAAAUAAGGACUGGAAUGAACGGCUACAUGAGGACUAACCUGUCUCUUGUGUCUGACCAAUGAAACUGAUCUUCCAGUACAAAAGCUGGAAUAACACCAUAAGACGAGAAGACCCUGUGGAGCUUACAAAAACGAAGCCCAUAAAAAUGUACGCCAAGUUUUUAGUUGGGGCGA
rnacentral:rRNA from 1 species